AGGACACGAAUGAAGAGGAAAUGGUUUCGAUACAAAACAAAAUAUUAACUUACAUUUUUUAGAACCAUCAUUUUGGGUCUCGUAAAGGGACUCAGCAAACUUCUCUACGAACUCGGUAGAAGGAAUUCCUUUCUAUAAUCUGUUAGUUGAGAAAAGGGCAAAAACGGGAUUCGGUUACAUUGUCAUUUAAAGAAUUUAAUAACUUUAUCUGGGAAUCAUUCAACGCGUUUUUUGUAGACAUGUCUUAAUAGACAAGAAAUUUUAAAUCUACAAUUCUCGAAUAGAAAAGUAAUGAUCAAAGUUUCCUUUGGUUUGUAGGUGAUGGGUUAUCACUAGGUUCUAUGAAGUGGGU